rnacentral:rRNA from 1 species
UGGGGAAUAUUGCACAAUGGGGGAAACCCUGAUGCAGCAACGCCGCGUGAGUGAUGACGGCCUUCGGGUUGGAAAGCUCUGUCUUCAGGGACGAUAAUGACGGUACCUGAGGAGGAAGCCACGGCUAACUACGUGCCAGCAGCCGCGGUAAUACGGAGGUGGCAAGCGUUGUCCGGAUUUACUGGGCGUAAAGGGAGCGUAGGCGGACUUUUAAGUGAGAUGUGAAAUACCCGGGCUCAACCUGGGUGCUGCAUUUCAAACUGGAAGUCUAGAGUGCAGGAGAGGAGAGUGGAAUUCCUAGUGUAGCGGUGAAAUGCGUAGAGAUUAGGAAGAACACCAGUGGCGAAGGCGACUCUCUGGACUGUAACUGACGCUGAGGCUCGAAAGCGUGGGGAGCAAACA